rnacentral:lncRNA from 1 species
CACACACACACACACACACUACAUGACCAAAAGUAUGUGGACACCUGCUCGUCAAACAUCUCAUUCCAAAAUCAUGGGCAUUAACAUGGAGUUGGUCCCCCCUUUGCUGCUAUAACAGCCUCCUCUCUUCUGGGAAGGGUUUCCACUAGAUGUUGGAGCAUUGCUGCGGGGACUUGCUUCUAUUUAGUCACGAGCAUUAGUGAGGAUCAGGCACUGAUGUUGGGCGAUUAGGCCUGGCUUGCAGUCGGCCUUCCAAUUCAUCCCAAAGGUGUUCGAUGUGGUUGAGGUCAGGGAAGUCAACUUAUUCCACACCAUUCUCGACAAACCAUUUCUGUAUGGACCUCGCUUUGUGCACGUGGGCAUUGUUAUACUGAAACAGGAAAGGACCUUCCCCAAACUGUUUCCACAAAGUUGGAAGCACAGAAUCGUCUAAAAUAUAAUUUUAUGCUGUGGCAUUAAGAUUUCCCUUCACUGGAAAUAAGAGGCCUAGUCCGAACCAUGAAAAACAGCCCCAGACAAUUAUUCCUCCUCCACCAAACUUUACAGUUGGCGCUAAGCACUUAGGGCAGGUAGCGUUCUCCUGGUAUCCGCAAAACCCAGAUUCAUCUGUCGGACUGCCAGAUGGUGAAGCGUGAUUCAUCACUCAAGAGAACGAGUUUCCACUGCUCCAGAGUCCAAAGUCGUCGAGCUUUACACCACUCCAGCUGACGCUUGGCAUUGCACAUGGUGAUCUUAGGCUUGGGUGUAGCUGCUCGGCCAUGGAAACCCAUUUCAUGAAGCUCCUGACGAACAGUUAUUGUGCUGACGUGGCUUCCAAAGGCAGUUUGGAACUCGGUAGUGAGUGUUGCCAACGAGGACAGACAAUUUUUACGCUCUAUAUGCAUCAGCACUCGGCGGUCCCGUUCUGUGAGCUUGUGUGGCCUACCACUUCGCGGCUGAGCCGUUGUUGCUCCUAGAUGUUUCCACUUCACAAUAACAGCACUUACAGUUGAGCGGGGCAGCUCUAGCAAGGCAGAAAUUUGACAAACUGACUUGUUGGAAAGGUGGCAUCCUAUGACGGUGCCACGUUGAAAGUCACUGAGCUCUUCAGUAAGACCAUUCUUCUGCCAAUGUUUGUCUAUGGAGAUUGCAUGGUGGUGUCCUCAAUUUUAUACACAUCAGCAAUGGGUGUGGCUAAAAUAGCUAAAACCAG